GACGAACGCUGGCGGCGUGCCUAAUACAUGCAAGUAGAACGCUGAAGAGAGGAGCUUGCUCUUCUUGGAUGAGUUGCGAACGGGUGAGUAACGCGUAGGUAACCUGCCUUGUAGCGGGGGAUAACUAUUGGAAACGAUAGCUAAUACCGCAUAACAAUGGAUGACCCAUGUCAUUUAUUUGAAAGGGGCAAAUGCUCCACUACAAGAUGGACCUGCGUUGUAUUAGCUAGUAGGUGAGGUAACGGCUCACCUAGGCGACGAUACAUAGCCGACCUGAGAGGGUGAUCGGCCACACUGGGACUGAGACACGGCCCAGACUCCUACGGGAGGCAGCAGUAGGGAAUCUUCGGCAAUGGGGGCAUCCCUGACCGAGCAACGCCGCGUGAGUGAAGAAGGUUUUCGGAUCGUAAAGCUCUGUUGUAAGUCAAGAACGAGUGUGAGAGUGGAAAGUUCACACUGUGACGGUAGCUUACCAGAAAGGGACGGCUAACUACGUG
rnacentral:rRNA from 1 species